rnacentral:lncRNA from 1 species
AGUGAUCCUAUGCUGUGAUACUGUGUCUGUUUGCCGCAACCUAUCUUAAAUUAUCUUUGUUUACAAGUCAGUUUGUUUUCCAGUGCUGCAAACCUCAAAGGAGAGUGAAAAAUCAGGACUUUUUUUUUCCAUUCAUGAUUUUUCCUCCCUGCUAGCAAAGAACUUGAGAGAUGUCCCAUUUCCCAUGUGUCAUCUGUGGCAGGAACAUUCAGAGCCUUGUUGACUAAGCAAGCAGGGAUGCAAUUAGGAAGCUUUUGAAAUGGGAUGGAAGCAAGCAAAUGGUCAGAAAGUCAUUGAGGAUGAAUGCUCCAAGCACCCCAAAAUAUUUACUUACCUGUGGCUCUGAAGAAGAGUGGUUCAAAGCAAUCCCUGUGCUUCCUGUGGGGAAGCUGGAAAUUUUGCCAGUAUGGAUUCUGAGCCUCUUCAACAUCCGUUGGGAAGUGUGGCAGCCUGGUGAGAGACUUCUUGUUAGGUCUGCCGAGGCUAUUGCGUGUCCAAAAGUUCAAGAGAACACUUGGUUGUUGUGUGGUGUGCAGGAAGGCUGACCCUAUGCAAAGAACUGAUCUUGAUGCGUAGGACUGAGGUUAUCGAGAGAACUUAAAAUAAAUAAAUAAGAAGCCCUCUGUGAAGACA